rnacentral:rRNA from 1 species
UACGGGGGGGGCAAGCGUUGUUCGGAAUUACUGGGCGUAAAGGGCUCGUAGGCGGCCAACUAAGUCAUACGUGAAAUUCCUCGGCUUAACCGGGGAACUGCGUCUGAUACUGGAUGGCUUGAGUUCGGGAGAGGGAUGCGGAAUUCCAGGUGUAGCGGUGAAAUGCGUAGAUAUCUGGAGGAACACCGGUGGCGAAGGCGGCAUCCUGGACCGAUACUGACGCUGAGGAGCGAAGGCCAGGGGAGCAAACGGG